CACUAUGGCGUGACUGCGCGGGCAGCCUUCUGGCUGGCCGUUGUUCCUGUACGGUAUUUCCACCCCGCGCAUGAUCGCCGCCCUC
rnacentral:antisense_RNA from 1 species